rnacentral:rRNA from 1 species
CAAUAGCGUAUAUUUAAGUUGUUGCAGUUAAAAAGCUCGUAGUUGGAUUUCGGAUGGGAUUUGCCGGUCCGUCGUUACGAUGUGCACUGGCCAGUCCUAUCUUGUUGUCGGGGACUAGCUCCUUGGAUUCACUUCCUGGGACUAGGAGCUGACGAGGUUACUUUGAGUAAAUUAGAGUGUUCAAAGCAAGCCUACGCUCUGAAUACAUUAGCAUGGAAUAACACGAUAGGACUCUGGCUUAUCUUGUUGGUCUGUGAGACCAGAGUAAUGAUUAAGAGGGACAGUCGGGGACAUUCGUAUUUCAUUGUCAGAGGUGAAAUUCUUGGAUUUAUGAAAGACGAACUUCUGCGAAAGCAUUUGUCAAGGAUGUUUUCAUUA